rnacentral:rRNA from 1 species
AUUGAACGCUGGCGGCAGGCCUAACACAUGCAAGUCGAACGGUAACAGGAAACAGCUUGCUGUUUCGCUGACGAGUGGCGGACGGGUGAGUAAUGUCUGGGAAACUGCCUGAUGGAGGGGGAUAACUACUGGAAACGGUAGCUAAUACCGCAUAACGUCGCAAGACCAAAGAGGGGGACCUUCGGGCCUCUUGCCAUCGGAUGUGCCCAGAUGGGAUUAGCUAGUAGGUGGGGUAACGGCUCACCUAGGCGACGAUCCCUAGCUGGUCUGAGAGGAUGACCAGCCACACUGGAACUGAGACACGGUCCAGACUCCUACGGGAGGCAGCAGUGGGGAAUAUUGCACAAUGGGCGCAAGCCUGAUGCAGCCAUGCCGCGUGUAUGAAGAAGGCCUUCGGGUUGUAAAGUACUUUCAGCGGGGAGGAAGGGAGUAAAGUUAAUACCUUUGCUCAUUGACGUUACCCGCAGAAGAAGCACCGGCUAACUCCGUGCCAGCCGCCGUAAAAC